UGUGCCACCAUUACAUUAUUAUGUUAUUAUUUGUUUAUAUAUUUCCCUUCACCUUUACCAGUGAGAUUUAUACUUUGUUAUGUUUUCAUGUUGCUGCUCAUGUUUCCACGUUGUUACUAUUUCUUUGCAGCUGAAAGAACUCCCUGAGCUUCUUUGAAAGGAUUCUUUGAAGUCUUUGUCAGGAAGGUCAUAGGUAGGGAUUUCUUUUUUUUUUUUUUAAUAUAAUGAUUUUUCUUUUUUUCCUUUAUAUCUGGUUUUCAGUGUUCUGUCUAGAUAAGGAUUUCUUUAUGGUCAAUUAUUAGAGCUGCAUUUUGUUAAUUUGGAUGAAUCAGUUUUUCUCCCAAGUCUUCAUAACCCUUGUAGCCUUGCAUUUCUGUCUUUCUAUUUAAAGAAGCAGUCGGCUUUUCCAGUCCUUACAGGCUUCUGCAGGGAAAGCCCUACACCAGUCAGCUUGUUCAGACACUAUGGACAGGGUCAAAGUACAUGAGGACCCAAUUUCACCAUUUUAAAUGGAAGUGACACACUGCACCUCUCCGGACAAGCGGUCAAAAGAUUGAGAGGAUGCUUAACACGGAACAUGGCACAAGACUAACAAAACCAAACUCCUUCAUCCGGCCACCAGGAGGCCUCUGACAUCAAGUGAUGCCUUGUAAAGGAAACUACAGUGUCAGAAAUUAUAAUACAUUGUAAGUACCCAUUGUACUAAAAUACGUAUUUAGCAUAGUAGAGAGUAUAUACAAAGUAUUAGAGUGUCCAGAAUACAAGAGAGCUGAAAGUGUCCUUGUGUCUCUAAGGUAAGACAAAUAAGGCUAAAACAAUGAAAAAUAUCAGUGGAACAAUCCAUUAAAUUGUUGAAAGUUUAUGUAAGAGUCACUGUUUGUUGCAUCUGGAUUUAUAGGUCUCAAACCAUGUGCCUUUCUAGUACAGAAUAUAACAGCUUUUUGGGUACAGACUAUAACAGCACCAUUACCCAGAAUGAGGAUAUUAUACAAACCUCUCAGAGAAAUGAAUUAUGUAAAAUGAAGAAUGAAGUGAAAAAGAAGGUGAAGGACAAAUAAGGAAAAUGAAUUCUGUGUUUUUUGGGGUGUCAAGAAUACGGGGCCUUAGCGGAGAUAACGUGGAUUGAAUAGGA